UCAAGCACAAUUAUCAACCAUCACCAAUCUCAUAUGUCACCAACAUCUGUUCAAAUAUCAACCAAUGUCGCCAAUGUCCAAAUCUGCUCAUAUUGAUGCCAGCCAAUCGUGGAGUAGCUGGUUACAAGAUCCAAUUGUCGCUUCUCUCUACUAGAGGUUUUCCACAAAGAAUCAUUUCAUCUUUGUUGUCAAAUAUUAAAAAGAACAGAUGAUGAGCGUUAUGAGUGUUAAGUGGACGCAGCCAAAAAGAAGCACGUGCGCUCAUAUACGUAUUUUUUGUUGUAUGCAGUUUCCUUUCUAACUAAUUUUUAGGCCCAAGAUUUUAAUCUAACAGCCCUUGGUUAAGAUAUAAUCCAGACUCUGGGCCUCUAUUCUUGAAACAUAUCUUCACGAAAAUCCUAUAGUUUAUGUGACAUAUAUUAUAGGAUUUUCGUAUGCGAUAUGUUUCAAGAAUAAGACCCAAGAGUCGUUUCCGGACCGUUGUGUGGAGUGGACGUGUCUCAUCCUUAGCUAAUUUUUGUAUUGCGUUAUCACACAUUUUUGUCUUUGUUUCCUGAUUUCGAUUUUGUAUUCAGAUUGUAUUCCAUCAGACGCAUUAUUACCAUAUUAUUUAUGGUUUAAUGUAAGAAACAAGUGCCAAUAAAAACGAACCGUUUCCUGAGAGAGAUAAACACAGAAAAAUAUCUUAAUUUUUUUGGCUAAACAACGAGUUGAUACCAAAACUUUAGUAACAAGAAAAAAAGAGUUGUGAUUAAUAUUAAGCGAUUGCUGUAUAAUAUCGCUUUUUACAAUCGUAAGAUGUCUUAGAUCAUAUAAAAUUCAUCUAUUUCUUACGAUGAUUAACGAGAUAUCUGCGUUUCUUUCUUCAGCUUACACAAGAAAUCAUUCUAAUAUUUGGAUUCAAAUUGAUUCUGAAGAA